rnacentral:misc_RNA from 1 species
UCCGGUUUGUCACCGGCAGUCUCCCUAGAGUUCCCGACCGAAUCGCUGGCAAAUAGGGACAGGGGUUGCGCUCGUUACGGGACUUAACCCAACAUUUCACAACACGAGCUGACGACAGCCAUGCACCACCUGUCACGGGCCCUUACGGACACUGUGUUUCCACAGUUUUUCCCGUGAUGUCAAACCCAGGUAAGGUUCUUCGGGUUGCAUCGAAUUAAGCAACAUGCUCCGCCGCUUGUGCGGGCCCCCGUCAAUUCCUUUGAGUUUUAGCCUUGCGGCCGUACUCCCCAGGCGGGGCACUUAAUGCGUUAGCUACGACACCGAAUCCGUCUAUAGACCCGGCAUCUAGUGCCCAUCGUUUACGGCGUGGACUAC